rnacentral:rRNA from 1 species
UACGGAGGGUGCAAACGUUGCUCGGAAUCAUUGGGCGUAAAGCGCACGUAGGCGGUCCAGUAAGUCGGGGGUGAAAGCCCAGGGCUCAACCCUGGAAUAGCCUUCGAUACUGGGAGUCUUGAGUUCGGAAGAGGUUGGUGGAAUUGCGAGUGUAGAGGUGAAAUUCGUAGAUAUUCGCAAGAACACCAGUGGCGAAGGCGGCCAACUGGUCCGAUACUGACGCUGAGGCGCGAAAGCGUGGGGAGCAAACAGG